GACUUCACCAAGGCACCCUCGGUAAGGCAAACGGUGUUAUUUAAAAUAAUCUCAACUCCACUAAUAUGUUGUAAUUGUUGGGGAGUGUGGAAAUAUUUUAUGUGCACAGUUCCUAUUGUCACGGUUUUGUGGUUUGCUACUCAUGGCAGGUUGUUGCGGCUCCAAGAGAUAGGAUAAGAUAUCACCUAGCUUGUUGUAAUCUUGUGUUGUAAGUUAUUUAGUUUGUAGAUGCUUGUUGUACAGUUCUAAUCGCCACGGUAGAGGUUGUUCCUAGCUAUAUUAAUACAGAGUCUCGAGCCUGAGAAGGCAUCACGUUACAACCACUUCCACACAAUGCAUGUACCAAUUUUAGCCUUCAGAACCCAACACUGUGUGACGAAGAUGGCACCAAGGG
rnacentral:lncRNA from 1 species